rnacentral:rRNA from 1 species
UACGAAGGGGGCUAGCGUUGUUCGGAUUUACUGGGCGUAAAGCGCACGUAGGCGGAUCUUUAAGUCAGAGGUGAAAUCCCAAGGCUCAACCUUGGAACUGCCUUUGAUACUGGAGAUCUUGAGUCCGGGAGAGGUGAGUGGAACUGCGAGUGUAGAGGUGAAAAUUCGUAGAUAUUCGCAAGAACACCAGUGGCGAAGGCGGCUCACUGGCCCGGUACUGACGCUGAGGUGCGAAAGCGUGGGGAGCAAACAGG